rnacentral:lncRNA from 1 species
GAUUGAAAGGAGUGUUUUAAUGGAAGGAUUUUUCAGUUGGACAGUCUCAGUGAAGGUGGAGAAUCGGGCCUGGCUUGCCGAGGAAACGGUGACUUGGUUGGUUUGAGAAUCAAUAUCAGCAAAUGCACAAAAAAGAUGAGUGAAAAGUGUGGAAUCUAUGUCGGGAACUGGAAAUCCACUGUCUGCAGACCAAUAGGCAGCUCUAACAACAUUCUGACCGGCGGAGAAGUGAAGCUGAAGCAGAAAGUGCGAACAGAAAAGCAAGAAGCUAAGAAGCUUUGCAGCCAUUGUUGAGUUCCAAAUGCAGCUUUGAAUGGUAUAAUAAAUAUAGCAAUGACCAACACUGAUUGAAGAAGCGCCUAAUACAUGGCACUGACCAACUUGCGUAGCCGGUAAAAAAUAUCGGGCAAAUUACACAUAAAAGCCCUAUUUUUUUUAAAAUUACCGAAAUAGGCCCGGUAUUUUAUUAUUUACCGGAAUGAGUCAUUUUCCCCGAAAUCGCAUCCACGUCAGCGCGAUGUCAGGGGAUGUGCCAUCAAAUCGCGUCCACGUCAAUGCGAUUACUUACGUGGCAACAAAUCGCGUCCACGAAAGCACGAUUUGCUGACGUGAAAGCAAUAAUUCAUGAACAGUUUAUGUUUUUUAGCUUGGAAAACUUUGAAAGGCCAUAACUUUUGGCUAGGUUGUCCGAUUUAGACGAUUUUUUUUUAUUUCGAAUAACUUUUCGAGAUCUACGCGCUGACAAACUGCUGAAGGUGGUUUACCACAUUUUUUUCGAAAAAGAUCAUUUUUUGCCUCUAAAUUUUGAUUUUUUCGGUUUAAAAUUGAAUUUUGAAACAUUCAAAUCAUUAUUUUCCUUAUUAUUUGAAGUAAACACCGGAUUUUUUUACAGAAUUGUUGUAUUAUUUUUUCUGAUUUGACACGUGUAUGGAAUAGGUCCGAUAAAUCAUUAGAACGUAAGUAAUAUAAUUAAGAUAAUAACAGUAUUUUAUAAUAUGUCAAUUAAUUAGUUUAGCUUAGUUGGUUAAGAUGCUUGCUCUUUUCCCUUAGUACCUUGGUUUAAAUCUUGUUGGUAAUAAUUUUGAAUCUUUUUUGUACUUGUUGCAUUUAUUUUUUUAAUCAAUUAACUCUUCAAUAUUACAUUAAUAUAUAUUAUUAGUACAAUAGUAUAGAUGGAUUGACAAUUUGAGCUACAAUAUUAUGAAUAUUAACUACAAUACAUAAUUUGAGCUACAUAUUACAGUAAUACAUUAAUAUGUAUUAUUAGGGGCAAAAUACCAAAAGAAGGGGCAAAUUACACAUAAAGCCCUAUUUUUUUAAAAUUUACCGAAAUAGGCCCGGUAUUUUAUUAUUUACCGGAAUGGGUCAUUUUCUCCAAAAUCGCGUCCACGUCAGCGCGAUGUCAGGGGACGUGUCAGCAAAUCGCGUGGACGUCAGCGCGUUUUGCUGAUGUGUCGGAAAAUCGCGUCCUCGUAGGCGCGAUUUGUGUCCACGUAAGCAAAGCGCGCUGACGUGGACGCAAUUUGCUGACACGUCCCCUGACAUCGCGCUGACGUAAAUGCAAUUUUGGGGAAAAUGGCCCAUUCCGGUAAAUAAUAAAAUACCGGACCUAUUUCGAUAAAUUUUUAAAAAAAUAGGGCUUUUUUUGGUAUUUUUCCCAAAAAUACCCAACACUAGAAAAUUAUUCAUACAUUAUUAAUUGGUCAAAGUAUACAACAUAUAGCACUCAUCAAAUUUCGUUCUUUUACUCCAUGAAAAUUUAUUUUCUUUAUAUGAAAUGAGGAUAUUGAUAUCCCAUUUCUUCUAUGUUAUAAUAUAUAUAUAUAUGAAUUAUAAUUCACAUAUUAUUUGUUUUGAUUUGAUUUAAGUGGAAUACCUAGAAAUUCCAUUUUUUCAUAAAUUUUUUUUUAAAUUUUCAACAAUUUUUUUUAAAAAAAAUUCACAGGGUUUAUUUUAUUUAUUUAUUUUGAGUUUGCUUAAUGAUAGAUUGUUUAGUGAAACUUAUUCAAGAAUAUUUUAUAUAAUUGAUGAGUAUUUUAUUUUGAUUUUGUAUGUUAAAAUUUACAUAGGGUGAUAUUUGAAACCAUGCCACCAAUAUUUUUUUUUCUUUAUCACUUAAACAAAAGUUUUAUUUUUAAGGAGUAUUUUACAUAGAGAUUUAGUUACUCUCAUUAUUUGAUAUUUUUAAAUAUAUUGUGUAUUAUUGUAUAUCUUUUAGGCAUAUAUUUAGGAAUAUAUUAUAUAUCUUUCUUAUUCCUAUGUGACUAUUUCUGUGUAAAUAUUAUGUAUACUCUUGAGGUCUAUCAAUAAAAUUAAAAUAGAUUACCCUAUUAUUGUCAAUAUAUAAAAACAUGCCGUUACUAACAUGAACCAGUACUAAUAGAAAAAUUGUACAUUCACUGAUUCGAUACCAACUACCUUAAUUUAAAGAGUUGAGAAAACAUUGAAGAAUUUCUAGAUAAUUGAUCGGAAACCUUUGAAUAUACCCGCGAAUUACGGAAUGAUUUGUCAAAUUUGAUGGAAACUCUUUUCAAAAGAAGAUCCGAGUUUGAUGAGGGUUGAUCCCUAUCAAAGAGUUGGGAGAGUAGUCUCUUAGGGGAGUUAGGCCUUUGUGGGUUGAGUUGAGGUGUUCACUAAUUGUCGUUUCCUGGUUUAGACUUUUCUAUUUUUUAUUAAUUAAAUAUUAAAAUAAAUAAUAUUAUACAUUUAUUCUUUUUGGUACAAAUUACUAAUAGAGAAGGAAAAUGAAAAUCAUAAAAAGGAGAUUAAGCUUGUCAACUAUAUUUAUUAAAUAAGUCACCAUCAUUCUUAUUGACAAGGAUCAUAUUAUUUCGUGACUUGUAAUAGUAUAACUGUAUAAAUAUCUUAGUUACUCGCAAUUGGCAUCUACGAUCCCCAAGUUUCCGAUGCUGCCACAUGAAAAAGAAACCCAUUAAAAUGUUAUAAGUUAAUCAAACAAAUGCUAUGGCUAAAAAGAAUGGUUUAGACCAUUCAGAUUGAGAAUAUAUGGGUAUUAAACCAUACACUGACCUGCUCGAGAAAGAGUCCAACCAUCAUCAGCGCCAACAUGCCAUGCGAAGUAACCAAGCAACCCUUUUUGUUUACAAUAAGAAACCUUGGCUGUAAUGCUUUCUGUAUCAUCAAAACCAAUCCAGGUCGUCCCAGCGUAGCAAUAAUUCGAAACCACCGUCUCAUUGUAUACCUCCCUGGCGCUGUUGGCCGAAAUAAAAUCCUUGAUCUGACCGUAACCCAAGUCUCCAUUUGGCGUUAUAGCCGGUCCACUAGUCGGUGCAAAAAACCCAUGGUUAUUUGCAUCCACAAGCUGCCAUGCAUAGCCGUAAAAAGGGAAGCCGAGAACUAAUUUAUUCGAUGGAAUACCUGAUUGUAUCCAUGAAGUGAUCCCAUAAUCACCACUAACUUGAGUUCCGGGAUUGUAUAACGCUGCAGGAGGUCCGGUUACAGUUGACCAUCCAGGGCCGUAAAAAUCAUAAGCCAUUACGUUGAUCCAGUCCAGGCUAUUCUGUAUUGCCUGGAUUGGAUAAUCCAGAGUAUAAUAAUCCGAGUUGCGGAAAAAUGCUGCCGACAAAAGUAAUCUUGAGUUGCCAGUAUUGGCGGCUUCAUUAACCAAAGCAACUCUCCAUUCGUUUAGAAGUAAACCCAAGUUGUUCAUUUCAGUAGGUGUUGAUGGGUACUCCCAAUCAAGGUCAAGGCCAUGGAAGCCGUAAGAUCUAGCUAUAUUUAUGGAGGAAUCGAUGAAUGAUUUCCGGGUAUUAGCUUGGCUAGCCAUGGAAGCGAAAUCUGAUGCCGAUGAACUUCCCCCACCGAUUGAAAGGAGUGUUUUAAUGUAAGGAUUUUUCAGUUGGACAGUCUCAGUGAAGGUGGAGAAUCGGGCCUGGUUUGCCGAGGAAACCGUGACUUGGUUGGUUUGAGAAUCAAGAUCAGCAAAUGCGCAGAAAAGGUGAGUGAAAAGCGUGGAGUCUAUAUCGGAAACGGGAAAUUCACUGCCUGCCGACCAAUAAGCAGCCCU